rnacentral:rRNA from 1 species
UACGUAGGGUGCGAGCGUUGUCCGGAAUUAUUGGCGUAAAGGGCUCGUAGGCGGUCUGUUGCGUCAGGAGUGAAAACUCGGGGCUUAACCCCGAGCCUGCUUCUGAUACGGGCAGACUAGAGGUAUGCAGGGGAGAACGGAAUUCCUGGUGUAGCGGUGAAAUGCGCAGAUAUCAGGAGGAACACCGAUUGCGAAGGCAGCUCGCUGGGACGUUACUGACGCUGAGACGCGAAAGCGUGGGAGCAAACAGG